rfam:Pichia farinosa complete mitochondrial genome, strain CBS7064
GCCUAGGUAGUUCAAUGGUUAGAACUGAUGCCUCAUAUGCAUCCAAUGUAGGUUCAAUUCCUACCUUAGGCA